GUCACGGUGGUCUAGCGGUUAGAACGCUGGCCUUGUAAUCCUGGGGUCUCGGGUUCGAUUCCCGGCGGCGCCC
rnacentral:tRNA from 1 species